CGGUAGUUCAGUUGGUUAGAAUACCUGCCUGUCACGCAGGGGGUCGCGGGUUCGAGCUGUAA
rnacentral:tRNA from 1 species